rnacentral:rRNA from 1 species
ACGGCUAACUACGUGCCAGCAGCCGCGGUAAUACGUAGGUGGCAAGCGUUGUCCGGAAUUAUUGGGCGUAAAGCGCGCGCAGGCGGAUUGGUCAGUCUGUCUUAAAAGUUCGGGGCUUAACCCCGUGAUGGGAUGGAGACUGCCAAUCUAGAGUAUCGGAGAGGAAAGUGGAAUUCCUAGUGUAGCGGUGAAAUGCGUAGAUAUUAGGAAGAACACCAGUGGCGAAGGCGACUUUCUGGACGAAAACUGACGCUGAGGCGCGAAAGCCAGGGGAGCGAACGGGAUUAGAUACCCCGGUAGUCCUGGCCGUAAACGA